CAUGCAGGCGGUCAGGCGCGUUUUGUGUGACAGCGGAUGGCUUAACUAUCCGAGGAUACGAAAGACGGCGUGACUUGAGAGCGCGAGAGGGACACGGAAUUCCGGGUGGAGUGGUGAAAUGCGUAGAGAUCCGGAGGAACACCGAAGGCGAAGGCAGUGUCCUGGCGCGUAUCUGACGCUGAGGUGCGAAAGCCAGGGGAGCGAACG
rnacentral:rRNA from 1 species